rnacentral:rRNA from 1 species
CCUACGGGGGGCUGCAGUGGGGAAUAUUGGACAAUGGGCGAAAGCCUGAUCCAGCCAUGCCGCGUGUGUGAAGAAGGCCUUCGGGUUGUAAAGCACUUUCAGUGGGGAAGAAAGCCUUGGGGCUAAUACCCUCGAGGAAGGACAUCACCCACAGAAGAAGCACCGGCUAACUCCGUGCCAGCAGCCGCGGUAAUACGGAGGGGUGCGAGCGUUAAUCGGAAUUACUGGGCGUAAAGCGCGCGUAGGCGGUCUGAUAAGCCGGUUGUGAAAGCCCCGGGCUCAACCUGGGAACGGCAUCCGGAACUGUCAGGCUAGAGUGCAGGAGAGGAAGGUAGAAUUCCCGGUGUAGCGGUGAAAUGCGUAGAGAUAGGGAGGAAUACCAGUGGCGAAGGCGGCCUUCUGGACUGAAACUGACGCUGAGGUGCGAAAGCGUGGGUAGCAAACAGGAUUAGAUACCCCAGUAGUC